rnacentral:rRNA from 1 species
AGUGAACGCUGGCGGUAGGCCUAACACAUGCAAGUCGAACGGCAGCACAGUAAGAGCUUGCUCUUACGGGUGGCGAGUGGCGGACGGGUGAGGAAUACAUCGGAAUCUACUUUUUCGUGGGGGAUAACGUAGGGAAACUUACGCUAAUACCGCAUACGACCUACCGGUGAAAGCAGGGGAUCUUCGGACCUUGCGCGAUUGAAUGAGCCGAUGUCGGAUUAGCUAGUUGGCGGGGUAAAGGCCCACCAAGGCGACGAUCCGUAGCUGGUCUGAGAGGAUGAUCAGCCACACUGGAACUGAGACACGGUCCAGACUCCUACGGGAGGCAGCAGUGGGGAAUAUUGGACAAUGGGCGCAAGCCUGAUCCAGCCAUACCGCGUGGGUGAAGAAGGCCUUCGGGUUGUAAAGCCCUUUUGUUGGGAAAGAAAAGCAGCAGGUUAAUACCCCGCUGUUCUGACGGUACCCAAAGAAUAAGCACCGGCUAACUUCGUG